GCCGCUGCUUUCAGCCGCCAAACCUUGCUGUUACCUCCGAACUCUGAAGUCCGAAGUUCCGAACUUACCGAGUUGAUUAGUUGCUUAGUGUUGCUUAGUGUGACGUGUGACUUUUAUUCGUUCGUUAUCGUUAUAAUGGAACGUUAGUACAGGAGUUCUUCGAGAGACUGUGGAAAAGUAUUUUAAGGGUUGAAGUUGCUUCUGUUGUGUGGAAUGGUGAUAGAACCUUCUUAAACCCUGUGGUAAAAGAGACGGGAUGCGAACCCGCAAGAAAAGGAGGAUGAAGGAAAUCAUUUCUCUUGGUCAUGAAACCUUUUCUUCUGCCAAGUGCGUCAAGAAUUUCGACGGAACUCAGGUG